rnacentral:rRNA from 1 species
CAUCUGGAAAGAUGAAUCAAAGAAGGUAAUAAUCCUGUAGUCGAAAAUGUUGUCUCUCUUGAGUGGAUCCUGAGUACGACGGAGCACGUGAAAUUCCGUCGGAAUCUGGGAGGACCAUCUCCUAAGGCUAAAUACUCUCUAGUGACCGAUAGUGAACCAGUACCGUGAGGGAAAGGUGAAAAGCACCCCGGAAGGGGAGUGAAAUAGAACCUGAAACCGUGUGCUUACAAGUAGUCAGAGCCCGUUAAUGGGUGAUGGCGUGCCUUUUGUAGAAUGAACCGGCGAGUUACGAUUUGAUGCAAGGUUAAGCAGUAAAUGUGGAGCCGUAGCGAAAGCGAGUCUGAAUAGGGCGUUUAGUAUUUGGUCGUAGACCCGAAACCAGGUGAUCUACCCUUGGUCAGGUUGAAGUUCAGGUAACACUGAAUGGAGGACCGAACCGACUUACGUUGAAAAGUGAGCGGAUGAACUGAGGGUAGCGGAGAAAUUCCAAUCGAACCUGGAGAUAGCUGGUUCUCUCCGAAAUAGCUUUAGGGCUAGCCUCAAGUGAUGAUUAUUGGAGGUAGAGCACUGUUUGGACGAGGGGCCCCUCUCGGGUUACCGAAUUCAGACAAACUCCGAAUGCCAAUUAAUUUAACUUGGGAGUCAGAACAUGGGUGAUAAGGUCCGUGUUCGAAAGGGAAACAGCCCAGACCACCAGCUAAGGUCCCAAAAUAUAUGUUAAGUGGAAAAGGAUGUGGCGUUGCCCAGACAACUAGGAUGUUGGCUUAGAAGCAGCCAUCAUUUAAAGAGUGCGUAAUAGCUCACUAGUCGAGUGACACUGCGCCGAAAAUGUACCGGGGCUAAACAUAUUACCGAAGCUGUGGAUUGUCCUUUGGACAAUGGUAGGAGAGCGUUCUAAGGGCGUUGAAGCAUGAUCGUAAGGACAUGUGGAGCGCUUAGAAGUGAGAAUGCCGGUGUGAGUAGCGAAAGACGGGUGAGAAUCCCGUCCACCGAUUGACUAAGGUUUCCAGAGGAAGGCUCGUCCGCUCUGGGUUAGUCGGGUCCUAAGCUGAGGCCGACAGGCGUAGGCGAUGGAUAACAGGUUGAUAUUCCUGU